GUYUUUUUGUUUAAAAUUUAAAGUCGGGCCUGCCCACUGAAAAUUUAAAUGGCCGUGGUAUUUUGACCGUGCUAAGGUAGCAUAAUCAUUAGUUUUUUAAUUGAAAGCUGGAAUGAAAGGUUUGAUAAAAAAAUAACUGUCUCUAUUUAAUUUUAUUAAAAAUUUAUUUUUAAGUUCAAAAGCUUAAUUUUGAUUAAAAGACGAGAAGACCCUAUAGAGUUUAAUAAUUUAGGAUAACUUGUAUUUUAGAAUUAAUUUAUUUAUUUUUUAAAAUUAUUUAAUUGGGGUGAUUGAAAAAUUUAAUUAACUUUUUUUAUAUUUAACCAUUAAUUUAUGAUAAUUUGAUCCAAUUUUUUUGAUUAUAAGAUAAAAUUACCUUAGGGAUAACAGCGUAAUUUUUUUAGAAAGUUCAAAUUAAAAGAAAAGAUUGCGACCUCGAUGUUGGAUUAAAAUUAAAUUUUGGUGUAGAAGCUAAAAAUUUGAGUCUGUUCGACUU
rnacentral:rRNA from 1 species